UGUAUAAUCUCAUUCCAUCAUUAAUAUUGGUCAUUGUUGGUAUAUAUUUAUCUUCAAGUUUAACAAUGUACUGUGAAAGAGCUAUCUUCUAACAGAUACUUCAUAUUUUGGUUAUUGUGAAACCACUGAUUCAAAGGAAAAGUUUCACUUAUUGCCUUUUUGAAGAUACAGACUUUAUAAUGUUGUUUUUAUUGACAAAACCUUGCUAGCAUUAAAGAAAAGUUAUUCCAUGUCAGUAUCAUUUGGUUCAAAAAAUAUAUGUUUGUGUUGCUUUUUUUAACGUUAUUUGUAUUAUUAUCUCCCAUGCUAUCAAAUUUGCACUUAAAACCACUUUUCUCAUCCUAGCAUUGAAAAGAUAUCUCAGUUCCAUUAAUAGGGCUGAAGAAUAUAAUUUAUUUGGCUUUUGGUAUAAUGCAGAGUGCACAAAGACUCUAAUAAAAAAAAUAACAUGCAUGCACUCAUAUGGACCCAUCAGGAUUAGCCAUAAUCUCAAUUCUGAAUACCAUGUUAUGUUCAUAAAAUGGUUGUGCCAAUACAAUCUGGUAACCUAUAGAUGUAAUACCACCAUUGAUUUUCCCCUACAGUCUUUGUUAAAU
rnacentral:lncRNA from 1 species